rnacentral:rRNA from 1 species
UAGUCAUAUGCUUGUCUUAAAGAUUAAGCCAUGCAUGUCUCAGUACAAGCUCCGGCAUAGUGAAACCGCGAAUGGCUCAUUAAAUCAGUUAUGGUUCAUUUGACGAAGGCCGUUUUACAUGGAUAACUGUGGCAAUUCUAGAGCUAAUACAUGGACACGGGCUCCGACCUCACGGGACGAGCGCACUUGUCAGAUCAAAAACCAAUCGGUCCGCGGCAUCCGUCGUUUGGACCGUCCUCGUGGCGAAUCAUGACAAACUCUACGCUGACCGCACGGCCCCUGCGCCGGCGGCCUGUCUUUCGAGUGUCUGCCUUAUCAACUUUCGUUGGUGUGCCAAGUGCUUACCAAGGUGAUAACGGGUAACGGGGAAUCAGGGUUCGAUUCCGGAGAGGGAGCCUGAGAAACGGCUACCACAUCCAAGGAAGGCAGCAGGCACGCAAAUUACCCACUCCCGGCUCGGGGAGGUAGUGACAAGAACUAACAAUCCGAGACUCUUUCGAGGCCUCGGAAUUGGAAUGAGUACACUUUAAAUCCUUUAACGAGGAUCUAUUGGAGGGCAAGUCUGGUGCCAGCAGCCGCGGUAAUUCCAGCUCCAAUAGCGUAUAUUAAUGCUGCUGUAGUUAAAAAGCUCGUAGUUGGAUCUGGCGCUCGGGCCCGCGAUGCGACGCAUGUCGGCUAUCGCGUGACGUUUGUCCGACGCACACCUCCCGGCUUUCUGCACGGUGCUCUUAGCUGAGUGCCUGCAGUUACCGGAACGUUUACUUUGAAAAAAUUAGAGUGUUCAAAGCAGGCCUGUGUCGCCUGGAUAGUGGUGCAUGGAAUAAUGGAACAAGACCUCGGUUCUAUUUUGUUGGUUUCCGGAACGCGAGGUAAUGAUUAAGAGGGACUGCCGGGGACAUCAGUAUUGCUGCAAGAGAGGUGAAAUUCUAGGACUGUAGCAGGACUAUCCAAGGCGAAAGCAUUUGUCUAGAAUGUUUUCAUUAAUCAAGAACGAAAGUCGGACGAUGGAAGGCGAUCAGAUACCGCCGUACUUCCGACCAUAAACGAUGCCGUCGGACAAUCUGCCGGAGUGUUACCAUGACUCGGCAGGAAGCUGCCUGGGAAACCUGUGAGAUUCUUGGCUCCAGGGGGAGUAUGGUUGCAAAGCUCAAACUUAAAGGAAUUGACGGAGGGGCACCACCAGGAGUGGAGCCUGCGGCUUAAUUUGACUCAACACGGGAAAACUCACCCGGUCCGGACACCGUUAGGAUUGACAGAUUGAGAGCUCUUUCUUGAUUCGGUGGUUGGUGGUGCAUGGCCGUUCUUAGUUGGUGGAGUGAUUUGUCUGGUUAAUUCCGAUAACGAACGAGACUCUGGCCUACUAAAUAGUCCGCCGUUCCGCAUUCGAAGACGGCGCUGACUUCUUAGGGGAACUAGCGGCGUUUAGUCGCACGAAAUAGAGCAAUAACAGGUCUGUGAUGCCCUUAGAUGUCCGGGGCCGCACGCGCGCUACACUGAAGAAGACAACGUGUGCUUGCCCUUCUCCGACAGGAGCCGGGUAACCCCGUGAAUCCUUUUCGUGCUAGGGAUUGGUGCUUGCAAUUGUUCCCCAUGAACGAGGAAUUCCCAGUAAACGCGAUUCAUAAGAUCGCGUUGAUUAUGUCCCUGCCCCUUGUACACACCGCCCGUCGCUACUACAGAUUGAAUGAUUUAGUGAGGUCUUUGGACCGGCCCCUGCAGGGUCCGCUUCGUCGGUUCGUGCGGGUGUGCCGGGAAGACGCCCGAACUUGAUCAUUUAGAUGAAGUAAAAGUCGUAACAAGGUUUCC